rnacentral:rRNA from 1 species
UACGAAGGGGGCUAGCGUUGCUCGGAUUGACUGGGCGUAAAGGGCGCGUAGGCGGUUCGUACAGUCAGACGUGAAAUUCCUGGGCUCAACCUGGGGGCUGCGUUUGAUACGUGCGGACUUGAGUGCGGAAGAGGGUCGUGGAAUUCCCAGUGUAGAGGUGAAAUUCGUAGAUAUUGGGAGGAACAUCAGUGGCGAAGGCGGCUGCCUGGCCCAAUACUGACACUCAGGUGCGACAGCGUGGGGAGCAAACAGG